CCGCGUUUUGAGGCGGCCGGGCAGGGUGGAGGCGCAGACCGGGCCAGCUGGAGGGGCUCUGCCCUGAUGGCGUUCCCACUCCCACCGCAUGAGCAGGGCGCCGGGGAGGGCUGGAGGGCUGCAGGUGUUCUAUUCCCACCCGGCUUGCAGCUCAAGGCGGGGAAACGCCUCACACCCUCCCCUUCUUCCCAGCCCCACUUCCUUUUCCUGCUCCCACAGGUGGAAGUCACCAGCAGAAAUAACCCUUCACCGUUUGGAGGGCUGGGAGAGAGGGGCCACGAGGGCCCCGGGAGACACCCCGGCGGCAGGUUGGGGGCAGGAGCUGCUUCUUCAAUUAGAAGAAUGAACAGACCUCAUAGUCAUUGCCUUUAGACCCAGCUGUGGGGCUAACCAAGGAAGGUAAAAUGACCAGCUGCCUCACAGCAAAUUCUCUGGAGUGAAUGGGAUCUAAAGCAAUGAUAUGCAAAUCUACAAAGACACUAUGUCUUUUCACUGAUUAAUGGGGUGCAAAAAUCUGUGAGAUUUAUAAUCGAAGCAGGUUUAACAACUGCACAACAGAAAAACAGCUAUACCAGGAGGCCCAGUGAGUGAGCAGAUCUCUAAGAACAGCUCUAUGUUGAUCAUUCUUGUGCAGCACCACCUGUAUGAAUUACUGAGAGAAUAAUAACAAGUACUGUUAACUCAGUACCUACUGUGUGCCAGAGGCUGUGCUAGUUACUUUAUCUACAUCAUCUCUGAAUCUCACAGUAACACUCAUGAAGAUUUUAUUGUCCUUGUUUCUCUGACGAAGAACUGAGGUGAAGAGAAUUUCAAUGAUUUACCCAAGUUUCCACAACUGAGGCCAGGCGCAGUGGCUCAUGCCUGUAAUCCCAGCCCUUUGGGAGGCCAAGGCGGCAGGAUCACCU